UAGCAAGGUUAACCGAAUAGGGGAGCCGGAGGGAAACCGAGUCUUAACCGGGCGUUAAGUUGCAGGGUAUAGACCCGAAACCCGGUGAUCUAGCCAUGGGCAGGUUGAAGGUUGGGUAACACUAACUGGAGGACCGAACCGACUAAUGUUGAAAAAUUAGCGGAUGACCUGUGGCUGGGGGUGAAAGGCCAAUCAAACCGGGAGAUAGCUGGUUCUCCCCGAAAGCUAUUUAGGUAGCGCCUCGUGAAUUCAUCUCCGGGGGUAGAGCACUGUUUCGGCUAGGGGGCCAUCCCGGCUUACCAACCCGAUGCAAACUGCGAAUACCGGAGAAUGUUAUCACGGGAGACACACGGCGGGUGCUAACGUCCGUCGUGAAGAGGGAAACAACCCAGACCGCCAGCUAAGGUCCCAAAGUCAUGGUUAAGUGGGAAACGAUGUGGGAAGGCCCAGACAGCCAGGAUGUUGGCUUAGAAGCAGCCAUCAUUUAAAGAAAGCGUAAUAGCUCACUGGUCGAGUCGGCCUGCGCGGAAGAUGUAACGGGGCUAAACCAUGCACCGAAGCUGCGGCAGCGACGCUGAUGCGUUGUUGGGUAGGGGAGCGUUCUGUAAGCCUGCGAAGGUGUGUCGUGAGGCAUGCUGGAGGUAUCAGAAGUGCGAAUGCUGACAUAAGUAACGAUAAAGCGGGUGAAAAGCCCGCUCGCCGGAAGACCAAGGGUUCCUGUCCAACGUUAAUCGGGGCAGGGUGAGUCGACCCCUAAGGCGAGGCCGAAAGGCGUAGUCGAUGGGAAACGGGUUAAUAUUCCCGUACUUGGUGUUACUGCGAAGGGGGGACGGAGAAGGCUAUGUUGGCCGGGCGACGGUUGUCCCGGUUUAAGCGUGUAGGUGUGUGUUCCAGGUAAAUCCGGUUCACUUUAACACUGAGGCGUGAUGACGAGGCACUACGGUGCUGAAGCAACAAAUGCCCUGCUUCCAGGAAAAGCCUCUAAGCAUCAGGUAACAUCAAAUCGUACCCCAAACCGACACAGGUGGUCAGGUAGAGAAUACCAAGGCGCUUGAGAGAACUCGGGUGAAGGAACUAGGCAAAAUGGUGCCGUAACUUCGGGAGAAGGCACGCUGACACGUAGGUGAAGUGAUUUACUCAUGGAGCUGAAGUCAGUCGAAGAUACCAGCUGGCUGCAACUGUUUAUUAAAAACACAGCACUGUGCAAACACGAAAGUGGACGUAUACGGUGUGACGCCUGCCCGGUGCCGGAAGGUUAAUUGAUGGGGUCAGCGCAAGCGAAGCUCCUGAUCGAAGCCCCGGUAAACGGCGGCCGUAACUAUAACGGUCCUAAGGUAGCGAAAUUCCUUGUCGGGUAAGUUCCGACCUGCACGAAUGGCGUAAUGAUGGCCAGGCUGUCUCCACCCGAGACUCAGUGAAAUUGAACUCGCUGUGAAGAUGCAGUGUACCCGCGGCAAGACGGAAAGACCCCGUGAACCUUUACUAUAGCUUGACACUGAACAUUGAGCCUUGAUGUGUAGGAUAGGUGGGAGGCUUUGAAGUGUGGACGCCAGUCUGCAUGGAGCCGGCCUUGAAAUACCACCCUUUAAUGUUUGAUGUUCUAACGUGGACCCGUGAUCCGGGUUGCGGACAGUGUCUGGUGGGUAGUUUGACUGGGGCGGUCUCCUCCUAAAGAGUAACGGAGGAGCACGAAGGUUGGCUAAUCCUGGUCGGACAUCAGGAGGUUAGUGCAAUGGCAUAAGCCAGCUUGACUGCGAGCGUGACGGCGCGAGCAGGUGCGAAAGCAGGUCAUAGUGAUCCGGUGGUUCUGAAUGGAAGGGCCAUCGCUCAACGGAUAAAAGGUACUCCGGGGAUAACAGGCUGAUACCGCCCAAGAGUUCAUAUCGACGGCGGUGUUUGGCACCUCGAUGUCGGCUCAUCACAUCCUGGGGCUGAAGUAGGUCCCAAGGGUAUGGCUGUUCGCCAUUUAAAGUGGUACGCGAGCUGGGUUUAGAACGUCGUGAGACAGUUCGGUCCCUAUCUGCCGUGGGCGCUGGAGAACUGAGGGGGGCUGCUCCUAGUACGAGAGGACCGGAGUGGACGCAUCACUGGUGUUCGGGUUGUCAUGCCAAUGGCACUGCCCGGUAGCUAAAUGCGGAAGAGAUAAGUGCUGAAAGCAUCUAAGCACGAAACUUGCCCCGAGAUGAGUUCUCCCUGAGACUUAGAGUCUCCUGAAGGAACGUUGAAGACGACGACGUUGAUAGGCCGGGUGUGUAAGCGCAGCGAUGCGUUGAGCUAACCGGUACUAAUGAACCGUGAGGCUUAACCUUACAACGCCGAAG
rnacentral:rRNA from 1 species